GCCGAGGUGAUGAAAUUGGCAAACAUGCACGGUUCAGGGCCGUGUGCCUUUACGGGCUUGCGGGUUCAACUCCCGCCCUCGGCACAA
rnacentral:tRNA from 5 species